AUGGACUCUGUGUGGAACCAGAAGGUAGAUGAGAAAGAGAAGCUGGGUUUUGGGAGUGUGGCUCAGCCAUCUGCCUUCAUCUUCCAGCCAUCUGAAGAGCAGUUGAGAACAGGCUCAGCCUCAGUGGUAUGCCUCAUGAACAACUUCUACCCCAAAAAAGCCACAGUCCAGUGGAAGAUUGAUGACGUGGUCAAGAGCACGGGGGUCCUCAACAGCUUCACAGAACAGGACAGCAAGGACAAUACAUACAGCCUCAGUAGCACCCUGAUCCUCACCGAGACUGAGUACAAAGCUCAUGACAAGUAUAGCUGCGAGAUCAGUCAUGAAAGCCUGUCCGGUGCCCUAGUGAAGUCCUUCCAGAGAAGCCAGUGUUCUGCGUGA